rnacentral:rRNA from 1 species
AUUGAACGCUGGCGGCAGGCCUAACACAUGCAAGUCGAGCGGAUGAAGGGAGCUUGCUCCUGGAUUCAGCGGCGGACGGGUGAGUAAUGCCUAGGAAUCUGCCUGGUAGUGGGGGAUAACGUCCGGAAACGGGCGCUAAUACCGCAUACGUCCUGAGGGAGAAAGUGGGGGAUCUUCGGACCUCACGCUAUCAGAUGAGCCUAGGUCGGAUUAGCUAGUUGGUGGGGUAAAGGCCUACCAAGGCGACGAUCCGUAACUGGUCUGAGAGGAUGAUCAGUCACACUGGAACUGAGACACGGUCCAGACUCCUACGGGAGGCAGCAGUGGGGAAUAUUGGACAAUGGGCGAAAGCCUGAUCCAGCCAUGCCGCGUGUGUGAAGAAGGUCUUCGGAUUUUAAAGCACUUUAAGUUGGGAGGAAGGGCAGUAAGUUAAUACCUUGCUGUUUUGACGUUACCAACAGAAUAAGCACCGGCCAACUUCGUG